AGUGAACGCUGGCGGUAGGCCUAACGCAUGCAAGUCGAACGGCAGCACAGUAAGAGCUUGCUCUUACGGGUGGCGAGUGGCGGACGGGUGAGGAAUACAUCGGAAUCUACUUUUUCGUGGGGGAUAACGUAGGGAAACUUACGCUAAUACCGCAUACGACCUACGGGUGAAAGCAGGGGAUCUUCGGACCUUGCGCGAUUGAAUGAGCCGAUGUCGGAUUAGCUAGUUGGCGGGGUAAAGGCCCACCAAGGCGACGAUCCGUAGCUGGUCUGAGAGGAUGAUCGGCCACACUGGAACUGAGACACGGUCCAGACUCCUACGGGAGGCAGCAGUGGGGAAUAUUGGACAAUGGGCGCAAGCCUGAUCCAGCCAUACCGCGUGGGUGAAGGAGGCCUUCGGGUUGUAAAGCCCUUUUGUUGGGAAAGAAAAGCAGCAGGUUAAUACCCCGCUGUUCUGACGGUACCCAAAGAAUAAGCACCGGCUAACUUCGUG
rnacentral:rRNA from 1 species